rnacentral:lncRNA from 1 species
UGAGAAGGAAGAUGUGAUGUGUGACAAUGUUGACCUCGGUGGCUAUAUAUGGUGUGGAGGCAUUUGAUAACAAGGCCGAAAGACCAAAAGGAUGGAGUGGGCACAUGCAAUGUGGGAUUACAAAGGUCAGACGAGGAUCUGAAGAAAAAGAAGAAGAAAAGCAAGAGCAGCAACAUAAGAGAAAGAAGGAGCUGUAGCAGCAGAAGAGGAAGAGGAACAACUAGCAGCAACAACAGAAGAAGAGG